rnacentral:rRNA from 1 species
GGCGGACGGGUGAGUGACGCGUGGGUAACCUACCCUGUACACACGGAUAACAUACCGAAAGGUAUGCUAAUACGGGAUAAUAUAUUUGAGAGGCAUCUCUUGAAUAUCAAAGGUGAGCCAGUACAGGAUGGACCCGCGUCUGAUUAGCUAGUUGGUAAGGUAACGGCUUACCAAGGCGACGAUCAGUAGCCGACCUGAGAGGGUGAUCGGCCACAUUGGAACUGAGACACGGUCCAAACUCCUACGGGAGGCAGCAGUGGGGAAUAUUGCACAAUGGGCGAAAGCCUGAUGCAGCAACGCCGCGUGAGUGAUGAAGGCCUUCGGGUCGUAAAACUCUGUCCUCAAGGAAGAUAAUGACGGUACUUGAGGAGGAAGCCCCGGCUAACUACGUGCCAGCAGCCGCGGUAAUACGUAGGGGGCUAGCGUUAUCCGGAUUUACUGGGCGUAAAGGGUGCGUAGGCGGUCUUUCAAGUCAGGAGUGAAAGGCUACGGCUCAACCGUAGUAAGCUCUUGAAACUGGGAGACUUGAGUGCAGGAGAGGAGAGUGGAAUUCCUAGUGUAGCGGUGAAAUGCGUAGAUAUUAGGAGGAACACCAGUUGCGAAGGCGGCUCUCUGGACUGUAACUGACGCUGAGGCACGAAAGCGUGGGGAGCAAACAGGAUUAGAUACCCUGGUAGUCCACGCUGUAAACGAUGAGUACUAGGUGUCGGGGGUUACCCCCUUCGGUGCCGCAGCUAACGCAUUAAGUACUCCGCCUGGGAAGUACGCUCGCAAGAGUGAAACUCAAAGG